AUACGGAGGGUCCAAGCGUUAUCCGGAAUCAUUGGGUUUAAAGGGUCCGUAGGCGGACAAUUAAGUCAGAGGUGAAAGCCCACAGCUCAACUGUGGAACUGCCUUUGAUACUGGUUGUCUUGAAUUAUAGUGAAGUAGAUAGAAUAUGUAGUGUAGCGGUGAAAUGCAUAGAUAUUACAUAGAAUACCGAUUGCGAAGGCAGUCUACUAACUAUAUAUUGACGCUGAUGGACGAAAGCGUGGGGAGCGAACAGGAUUAGAUACCCUAGUAGUCC
rnacentral:rRNA from 1 species